CCUACGGGAGGCAGCAGUGGGGAAUCUUGCGCAAUGGGCGAAAGCCUGACGCAGCCAUGCCGCGUGAAUGAUGAAGGUCUUAGGAUUGUAAAAUUCUUUCACCGGGGACGAUAAUGACGGUACCCGGAGAAGAAGCCCCGGCUAACUUCGUGCCAGCAGCCGCGGUAAUACGAAGGGGGCUAGCGUUGCUCGGAAUUACUGGGCGUAAAGGGAGCGUAGGCGGAUAGUUUAGUCAGAGGUGAAAGCCCAGGGCUCAACCUUGGAAUUGCCUUUGAUACUGGCUAUCUUGAGUAUGGAAGAGGUAUGUGGAACUCCGAGUGUAGAGGUGAAAUUCGUAGAUAUUCGGAAGAACACCAGUGGCGAAGGCGACAUACUGGUCCAUUACUGACGCUGAGGCUCGAAAGCGUGGGGAGCAAACAGGAUUAGAUACCCUGGUAGUCCACGCCGUAAACGAUGAGUGCUAGUUGUCGGCAUGCAUGCAUGUCGGUGACGCAGACUAACGACAUUAAGUACGACCUCCGCCGUCGGGGUAGGUACGGGUCGGCGAAGUAAGUUAAAACGUUAACGUUAAAGGAAAGUUAGUUACGGCGUGAGACGUUGCCGACGGACGACGACGAGGGGAGGAGG
rnacentral:rRNA from 1 species